rnacentral:rRNA from 1 species
AACGAACGCUGGCGGCGGGGCUUAGGCAUGCAAGUCGAGCGAGAAAGCCGCAAGGCGAGUACAGCGGCGUAAGGGUGAGUAAUAGGUAGUCAACGUAUCGCGCGGACGCGGAUAAUUUCCCGAAAGGGAUUGUAAUACGCGAUGAGACCACGGGCCCUUCGGGGCCGAGGGGUCAAACGUAGGGGAUCCUUCGGGACCUCGCGCCGUGUGAGCGGACGACCUCCGAUUAGCUAGUUGGCGGGGUAACGGCCCACCAAGGCGAUGAUCGGUAGCCGGCCUGAGAGGGUGUUCGGCCACACUGGGACUGAGACACUGCCCAGACUCCUACGGGA